rnacentral:misc_RNA from 1 species
CGUCAUGUUCGGCUUCUCGCGCGCGGUACGCAACUGGCCGCCAUCUUAGGCAACCGAGCGAAAGAUUGCAAUAUCGACCCCGAUCUAGCGAGAGUUGUUGGCCACCAAAGUCAGAGUUUGAACCAUGUUCCGGGCCGUGCUGGAAAAACGCGCGCCGGCCCCCUUUAUCUUCCCGCCGGCUGGCGCGAAGCUGGCCGUGUG